UUUCUUUAGUAUUUUUAGUUUUUCUGCCUCAAGUUUAGUGUUUUUAGACCAUGUACAUAGGUGAUAUAAUUAGAGUAUCAAGAGUCACAAAAUAAUUUUUAAUAUAUCAAACAAUAGAUUUAGGCCUGAUACUGUAUCAGUGCAGUGAUUCUUUUGAUACCCAGUAUCGGAUGACGUGGAGGCUUAUGAUUCGUCUGUGAAAUUCGUUUUUUUCUGGAAAAAAAAAAACAUUUUUCUCUCCGAUAGUCUUUCUACUGUUUUAGCUAAGUAGCUACAUUUUCCGCAAGUGAGUAAUUUUGCCAACUUUUCGUGAUUAUGCGACAUAAUUUUACAGUAAUUUUGUAACUCUAUAUUUUUAUAAAUUUAUUUUUUGAUUUUGCA
rnacentral:sRNA from 1 species